rnacentral:rRNA from 1 species
CAAUAGCGUAUAUUAAAGUUGUUGCAGUUAAAAAGCUCGUAGUUGGACCUUGGACCUGGACAGGCGGUCCGCCUCACGGCGUGUACUGUCUUGCUGGGUCUUUCCUCUUGGUGAUCUGUUGUUUCAGCAGCAGGGAACCAGGACUUUUACUUUGAAAAAAUUAGAGUGUUCAAAGCAGGCUCGACGCCGGAAUAUAUUAGCAUGGAAUAAUAAAAUAGGACGUGCGGUUCUAUUUUGUUGGUUUUUGGAAUCGCCGUAAUGAUUAAUAGGGACAGUCGGGGGCAUUAGUACUCACAUGCUAGAGGUGAAAUUCUUGGAUUUUGUGAAGACUAACUUCUGCGAAAGCAUCUGCCAAGGAUGUUUUCAUUAA